CAUCUACUUGUGUUGAGACUCACCGGGUGUGAUCUCAAAGAUGACAUUUGUGAAACCGUUGUCUCAGCUCUUCGUCAGCUGGCUCAUGUCUGACAGAGCUGGACCUCAGCUACAACAAACUGACAGACACCGGGGUGGAGAGGAUCUCCACUCGGGCUUAUGAGUCCACACUGUAAACUGAAGAUACUGAGACUGACUGGUUGUGAGAUUACAGAGAAGUCCUGUGAAGUUUGUCCUCUGCUUAUAGCAGUCUCUCAGCUCGAGGAGCUGCGUCGGGCUGCAACAGACUGGGAGACUCUGGAGUGAAGCUGCUGUCUGCUGGACUGAUGGAUCCACACUGUCAGAUACAGACUCUGGGGCUAAGGGAGUGUAAUCUCUCCAGACGUUCCUGUGUCUGUCUGGCCCCUGUACUGUGGUCGUACUCAGUCCUGAGAGAGCUGGACCUGAGGACAACAACCUGUGGUACUCUGGAAUGAGAUUCUCUCUGCUGGACUGAGGAACCCCAACUGUGCCUUACAGACU